AUCUCUAACAUCUGUGUUGUUUUCGGCACCAUUUCAGACAGCUCGCUGAAGCGCUGCACCUUCCAUCUACAGGCAGACACCUCAUGGACCUGGUGACAUCAGGAUGCAGCAACAUGAGGAAGGUAUCACGAGGGAAAUUGUUUUGGCCUCAGCAUACCUUCCUUAUGAAGAAAGCUCUCCUUCUUCUUUGGAGGUGCUCCUGGAGCUAGCUGUGCAGUGGAGAAAGACUAUCUUAAGAAAAAACCAUAUCACAAAUAGCCACAGUCUACUAUACAGUGCAUCACACCAUGACGGAUACCUUCAUGAUGAAGUUCUAUGACAAUGGUCAGUGAUGAUCUAGGAGAGUAAAAUGAAGAAGGAUUCUGAAAAUUACCUUAGAUCAGUUCAGUAACAUUUGUAUUACAAACAAGUUGAAACUUGAGUUGUGAAUUAAAGUCAGUCUGUAAUCUGGCAAAUAAAACCAGAUGACAUUCCACCACCACUCGAAUAGUUCUUUGUAAAAAGCAAUUUUCAGGAAGAACUUCUAGAUGUAGUGGAGAGUUCUGCCAGCUGAAAGUAAAAGUGUGUAUCUAGAUAGCAGAAUCCUUGCAGUAUAUGAAUACUACUACGUACAAACGAGUAGCCAUCUAAUGUCGUUAACAUAAAAGUUCU